UUGCCCACUGAUAAAAAUUUAAGGGCCGCAGUAAUUUGACCGUGCAAAGGUAGCAUAAUAGUUAGUUUUUUAAUUGGAAUCUUGUAUGAAUGAUUGGACAAAAGAAAGCCUGUCUCUAACUUUUUAUCCGAAUUUAACUUUUGAGUGAAAAGGCUCAAAUAAUUUAAAAAGACGAUAAGACCCUAUAAAGCUUGAUGAAUUAAUAUUAUUCGAUUGAAUUAGUAAUAAAAAUUGAGUGAUUGGAUUUAUUAUGUUGGGGCGACAAUAGUAAAAUGAUUAUUAACUGCUAAAAUUUAAAACAAUUAUAUAGGUGAAUAAGCUUAAAUGAUCCUAAAUAAAGAUUAAAAGUUUAAGUUACUUUAGGGAUAACAGCGUUAUUUUCCUUGAGAGUUCUUAUCGAAAGGAAAGUUUGCGACCUCGAUGUUGAAUUAAAAUUCCCGUUCAAUUGCAGAAGU
rnacentral:rRNA from 1 species